AGCAGCCGCGGUAAUUCCAGCUCCAAUAGCGUAUAUUAAAGUUGCUGCAGUUAAAAAGCUCGUAGUUGAAUUUCGGGACUAAUAUGUUGGUCGUGCCUCGGUACGUACUGAUAUUUUUGGUUUCUCCCUUCUGACGAACCUUGAUGUCAUUAAUUUGGUGUCUUGGGAAAUCAGGACUGUUACUUUGAAAAAAUUAGAGUAGUUUAAAGCAGGCUCACGCUUGAAUACAUUAGCAUGGAAUAAUGAAAUAGGACGUUUGAUUCUAUUUUGUUGGUUUCUAGGAUCGACGUAAUGAUUAAUAGGGAUAGUUGGGGGCAUUAGUAUUCAAUUGUCAGAGGUGAAAUUCUUGGAUUUAUUGAAGACUAACUACUGCGAAAGCAUUUGCCAAGGAUGUUUUCAUUAAUCAAGAACGAAAGUUAGGGGAUCGAAGACGAUCAGAUACCGUCGUAGUCUUAACCAUAAACUAUGCCGACUAGGGAUCGGAUGAUGUUAAUUUUUAAUGACUCAUUCGGCGCCUUAC
rnacentral:rRNA from 1 species